UUCCUCGUCAAAUGGUUUUCCACUACAAAUUCCCACAAUCAUUUGCCUCCAACAUCUCCAAGGCUCCCAAUACUAGGAAACCUCCACCAACUUGGCGCACGCCCUCACCGAUCCCUCCAACAACUAGCUCAGCACUAUGGUGGACUCAUGAUGCUUCACUUUGGUUCCAGACCUGUGAUCAUAGUUUCAUCUGCAGAUGCUGCUUGCGAGAUCAUGAAAACAAAUGAUCUCAUCUUCUGUAACAAACCCAGAUUAACACUUAUUGAUAGACUUCUUUACCAAGGCAAGGAUGUGGCCUCAGCUUCUUACGGUGAGUAUUGGAGGCAAAUAAGAAGCAUAUGUGUCCUCCAGCUUUUAAGUACCAAAAGGGUGCAGUCUUACCGAGGAAUUAGAGAAGAAGAACUAGCCUUGUUGAUUGAGAAUGUCAAACAAUCGUAUAUGUUGUCAUUGCCAGUCAAUCUAAGCGAUUUGUUUUCUUUGCUUAAUAAUGAUGUGAUUUGUAGGGUGGCUUUUGGAAAGAAGUACAGUGGUGGUAAUGAAGGUGCAAUGAAGUUCAAGAAGUUGCUUAGGGAACUUAUGGAGUUGUUGAGUGUUUUCUCUGUUGGAGAUUUUAUUCCAUGGCUUUCAUGGAUUAAUCGCUUUAGUGGGUUAGAUGCAAGAGUGGAGAGAGUUUCUAAAGAAUUGGAUAGAUUUCUUGAUACAAUAGUUGAGGAGCAUAUGGUUAAUCUUAGCACCGAUGGAGAUAUCUGUGGUGAAGAAGGUGAAGAUAGACAGGAUUUUGUGGAUGUUCUGCUUGAAGUGCAUAAGAAUAGCAUUGUCUCUGGUUCUUCCAUUGAUAGGGAUGGCAUGAAAGCUCUCAUCUUGGAUAUGUUUGCAGGUGGAACUGAUACAACCUCCAGUUAUAGAAUGGGCUAUGACUGAACUCAUAAGGCAUCCCAGAGUGAUGGAAAGACUGCGAAAUGAGGUUAUGGGAAUUGCUAGUGGAAAACAAGACAUAACAGAAAGUGACUUGGACAAAAUGCCAUACUUGAAAGCUGUGAUCAAAGAAACAUUGAGGCUGUAUCCUCCAUUACCAUUGGUGUUUCGAGAGUCAACCCAAGAUGCUAAAAUAAAGGGAUAUGACAUUGCUGCAAGAACCAUGGUGAUAGUCAGUGCCUGGACAAUUGGAAGAGACCCUUCUCUGUGGGAUGGACCAGAGGAGUUUCAACCUGAUAGGUUUAUGAAUUCUUGUGUGGACUUCAAAGGGCAGGACUUUCAGUUGAUCCCAUUUGGAGCUGGCAGAAGAGGUUGCCCGGGAAUCUUAUUUGCCAUGACCACUACGGAACUUGUUUUAGCAAAUCUUGUGCACAAGUUUGAAUGGUCAUUGCCUAGUGUAGCUAGAGCUGAGGAUAUGAACAUGACUGAAAGCGUUGGUUUUGUCAUCCACAGAGAAGUUCCUCUCAUAGCUAUGGCAGUGCCAAGGUCUUGUUAGAUUUAUUUUCUUC